rnacentral:rRNA from 1 species
UCGGUGGGGGAUUAGUGGCGAACGGGUGAGUAACACGUGGGCAAUCUGCCCUUCACUCUGGGACAAGCCCUGGAAACGGGGUCUAAUACCGGAUACGACCACUGAAGGCAUCCUCAGUGGUGGAAAGCUCCGGCGGUGAAGGAUGAGCCCGCGGCCUAUCAGCUUGUUGGUGGGGUAAUGGCCUACCAAGGCGACGACGGGUAGCCGGCCUGAGAGGGCGACCGGCCACACUGGGACUGAGACACGGCCCAGACUCCUACGGGAGGCAGCAGUGGGGAAUAUUGCACAAUGGGCGAAAGCCUGAUGCAGCGACGCCGCGUGAGGGAUGACGGCCUUCGGGUUGUAAACCUCUUUCAGCAGGGAAGAAGCGAAAGUGACGGUACCUGCAGAAGAAGCGCCGGCUAACUACGUGCCAGCAGCCGCGGUAAUACGUAGGGCGCAAGCGUUGUCCGGAAUUAUUGGGCGUAAAGAGCUCGUAGGCGGCUUGUCACGUCGGAUGUGAAAGCCCGGGGCUUAACCCCGGGUCUGCAUUCGAUACGGGCAGGCUAGAGUGUGGUAGGGGAGAUCGGAAUUCCUGGUGUAGCGGUGAAAUGCGCAGAUAUCAGGAGGAACACCGGUGGCGAAGGCGGAUCUCUGGGCCAUUACUGACGCUGAGGAGCGAAAGCGUGGGGAGCGAACAGGAUUAGAUACCCUGGUAGUCCACGCCGUAAACGUUGGGAACUAGGUGUUGGCGACAUUCCACGUCGUCGGUGCCGCAGCUAACGCAUUAAGUUCCCCGCCUGGGGAGUACGGCCGCAAGG